rnacentral:rRNA from 1 species
AUGACCUUUUCUUUGCUUCCAGAGUGGUUUGUCAAUCUCAAAUCCUUUUCUAGACCUUUCCAUUUCCACCUUGGACCUAAUCCCAAUAUUCUUUUUCUAGAGAAUAUUCUUCCUUUUAUUAAAGGAAUAACCCAAUUUGCCCUAGGUUGUGAAGCAAUCUAUAUUUUUAUCACUCCCAAAAAUUCCCAAAUAAUUCUCAUAAAUUGUUUGGGUCAUAUCUUCCUCAAAUAUGGAAAAAUAUUUCAUUGGCCAUGUUUCCCAUCAUGCUCAAUUAAUUCCUUUCCUAUUCUGUCCUAUGCUCAAUUAAUUCCUUUCCUAUUCUGUCCUGAAUGGCAGUUGUGA